UAUUUGGGUGAAAGUAAGGGUUAGGACACCUUGUGCUAGCUAUUUGAUGUGCUUCCUUUCUUGUUGAAAAAGCUUCUGUAGUAGCUGGUAUUCCACAAAUCCAUGCAUCAAAGUUACAAUUACAUGUCUGUGCCCAUAUCUCAUUAUUCUUCUCACCAUUUAUCAUAACUACAGGUGUCCAUGACAGCAUGCUGCUCAUGCCAGGCGCUAUGCCCUGUGUUAGUAGCGGGACUCAACGAAGCUUAUUACACUUUCAAAACAACCCUUUCAGACAUGAUGCUUGUGUCUAUUCUCAGACUGAUCCAGAAAAUAUGUAUGACAAGAACAGUAAGAAAACUCCCCUGGACCUUGCUCUCAUCCUUGUUCUCACUUUGCUGAAGGGAAGAGCUGACAACUUUUUUUUUUUUUUUGUAUCCUAAGUAAUGCAGCCCAUGAAUGAGUCAUGUGGAAAUGUCUCCUGCCACCAUCAAGACCCCGAUUCUAACCUGGUCAUCAGAGGAAAGGGAUUGCAUUAAGAACUGACCAUUUAUAUGCAUAGGAACGAUCCACUUUGAAUCCGGAAAUAAUAGGAGACCAAUCAAGACCUGACUCCUGCAGUCUCUCUCUCAUAUCCCCCAGUGAUGGAAAGCCUCACAGCCCACUUAGGAAAUGCUGGGGGGAGCUGUGCUCUGACUUCAGAUUUCUGAUAGAAAUAUGAUUCCUUUUCUUCCCUAAGAUGAUUUGGAAUUAUGUAUAAGUAAAGAUAUGUUUCUUUGACUUGAACAUGAAAAUUCAUCAGCUUACAUUGUGGACACAGAUAUACCAGUGUCACCUGUCUGUCAAAGUAUGGAGUUUUUUGUUAGCAUUCCACAUGCUGUGUUUAUUUAAAAGAAAAGUUUCUAAGCAAAGCAGCCUUCCUACGUGGUAAUUGGGUAGAGGGAAUAUGGAACUAGUGAUUUUUAACUAUAGUCUCAUGCUACAGGAAUCUGUGGAGCGAAAUAUAAGUGCGGAUGUGGUAUGGCUGGAGUUCUGCCUCCCAGAAACACUGAGGGUCAGCUGUUUUGAGGUGGGGCUCUGGCAUUAGUAUUUCUCUGAGGUUUUUAAGGUGAUUCUAACUAUGCAGCAACAUGAGCAUGGAGGCAGAGACACUACGGGCUUCUAGCCCUGUGAGAAAGCAAGUAUAGUUUCUUUUUGUUCAGCUUUUUAUUUAAAACUAUCACAGAUAUACAGAAAUUUGAGAUUAUAGAAAAUACCAUCCAUGCAUUAUUACUAUCUCAGAGUGGCAUUCGGCGUUUAGUGUAAUUAAUAAAGAAAUAUUGAAACAUUAUUGUUAACCAAUGUUAACACUCCAUUAGGACUUGCUCAACUUUUGCCUCCCAUUCCUCCGGUUUCUGAAUCUCAUCCAAGACAGUAUGUUUGAAGAGAUAGUCAUGCCUCAGGAGGUUUCUUAUUGCGGCACUUCCUUGGUUUCCCUUGGUUUCAGUGACACACUUCAAAGUGUGCUAGUCAGGUCUCAUUUUAGUCUCACCUUUGCCUCGUGACUGGACCGGAUUAGCGAGUUUUACAUAGAGUCCCCAGGAGCAGAACUAUUCUUGCUGCAUCACAGUGUGCACAGGCCACAUGUGCACAUGUCCAGUGCUGCUGUUGACCUUGGCCGUCAAGUUAAGGGAGUUUGCCAUUGACGUCUCCACUCUAAGCAUUUUCUUUCUUUACUUAAACUGUCUGCAUUUUAUUAAAAUAAAAAAAAAAGUGUGCAAAGUUCACUUAAGGAUGGGGAGUUACAAUGUAGGUAGCUGGUGCACUACAGAGUAAGGGAGUUGUUUGGAAUUCUGAAAAUGAUUUGUCUCUUUGCCUUCCCUUUGACUUAGUAUGGACUCAUGUGUAUUCUUUAUGCUUUAACAUGCCAUCCUGCUUUACAAUUUUUCUAUUUGUUUCUACUAAACUCCUUCAGUUUUCUCCAUGAUCCCUUUUCAUCCUCUUUUCACUUUGUGUAUGCACUUACAUACUCACUUUUCAGCAUGGAGAUAGAAGGCAAGGUCUCCCAUCAUGCUAGCUGCAUCACUGAGCUUCACUCUUACGGCUAACUCCUUAUCAUUUUCCAUCUCAUGUUUCUAAUUUCUGACACUAUUUUACUAAGGCGUUGGUACACUUUCCAGCCCCUGCUUUCAAAUCAGACAUUUCUCCCUAGGCACCCUGGUUCCAUUCAAUGGAGAACGGUGUUAAAAAUCAAGGUCUUGUCUCCAGAUGAACUCCUUGCUGCCAGGGAGUCUUGUCAUCUGACAUACCCAGGGAAUAUGUGGUCAUACAUGCCAACAUGUGCAUGCUUAGGUAUCCAUAUGCAUUUCUAUGCACAUCAGUCUGUAUCUAUAUUACAUUGGAUAUAAAUUCAUACUGAUGUCUGUGAAUUUUGCAAUUUAGAUCAUUCGAGACUUUUCUACUUGCUUAUCUAUAUCCUCUAACAGUGAGAAACCUGGCUCCUACCAUCUGCCAACGUUUAACUUUUCAAUUACUGUGUACACAUACAGACGUACCCGAGUUAUUAACCUCUAAGCCCAGGAGACACAGCUUCAUCAACUAGAGUACAGUCCUCAUGUCUAGUUUCUUUUGCCUUUAGUCUUACAGUCUGUGCUCAUUUCCUGCUACUUACAUUAGCAUCUCCCUCCUGCCUGCUCCCACUUUCUACCCCUUUAGUGAUGUUUGCUGAGGAUUCUACUAGAGAUUGUGUUAUGUCACAUUCUGCAUUCCAUUCUGGAAGCCUUGAUCUCCUAAGUUUCUGCAGUUUGUAUGUGUGAAAUCAUUCUGGUGUAAAGAUGUAUAUUUUGUGUAUUUUGAAUGUCACUCUUGUGGGUUAUUGUUCGUACUUCAGUGACUCAGCAGUGAAGUAAAACCUCAUACAUAAAUACCUGUACUGUAUGUAUGGUCUGGUAGAAUUCAAGGAGUUAAUAUGUCCUAGAAAUUCAGUCUGAAAAAUUAUAUAUGCAUAUGCAUGUAUGAAUGUAUAUAUGGACAUAUAGGUAUGCAUUAGAUGGGUGAAUAGUAUAAUAUUACUUGGCUGAAUGUAACAUAUAAAUGACAUAGCCAGGUAAUCCUGGGUGGGGGUUGGGGAAAAAUAAAGAUUUUGUUUUUAAAUUAAAUCAAAAUGCUUUGAACGCUCUAGGACACAUUGAUGGAGGCACAUUUAGCCUUUUGUAGUGUUCUUUAUUUUUGGUACACACACACACACACACACACACACACACAAGUGCCUCACUCUUAUUGGUCAAAGGGUCAUAAUGUCACUGAUGAAUCAUAUAGGGAUCUAAACUGAGGACAGUAAGGAGCAUUGCUUUCCUUCUAUGCAGCACAUAUUCUGUAAUAGCAAAUAAAAUUAUAUAUGAUAUUUCCAAUUCAGAUAUGUAUUACAAAGAUUUUAAAAUAUUUCUAUAAGUAAAUUCUUGUUUAUUUUCACUUAUUCUCAAAAUAAGUGACUUUGUAAGAUGAUAUUAAUGAAAUUACUUAACUUCCAUUACCUUAUAGCUUGCAUAAAAUAAUUUUAAAACUAAUAUUUGUUUUGAUUAUGGAAGAUUAUUACGUGUGUUUCAGUCCUGCAGCCUCUGAACUAUUAAUAGUGCAGAAGAUGUGUGCUUGAGAAUCUGUGUUUUAAAGUCAUUUGAAUCCAAAUGUCAUCAUAAUCAUGUAAUCAUGUCUUCAGUUUGACAUGGAAGUUGGUACAUUUAUAAUGGUUUUACCGUAAUGGUUUUACUCAAUUUUUUUCUUCAUGUUGACAUAAAGUUAUAAAAAUGUUUCUCACACUCUCCCCAGACUUUAUUCUUGAUUUAAUUUUCUUUAUAGCAAGUUAUGGCUAAUAUAUAUCAUGUUUAUCAUUUCAUGCAGUGUCUCUCAUGCUUUAAGCUAUAUAAAGCCACCAACAGUUGUCUUUUUUUACCUUGACAUCCUCUGGUAUAUAACAUUGUGCUAAGUGCUUUACAAAUAAUUUUUGAUUGAAUAAAUGAAUGACAUCAUUUGCAUAAAA